CCUACGGGAGGCAGCAGUGGGGAAUAUUGGGCAAUGGAGGCAACUCUGACCCAGCAACGCCGCGUGAGUGAUGAAGGUCUUCGGAUUGUAAAACUCUUUAAGUGGGGACGAAGAAAGUGACUGUACCGACAGAAUAAGCCUCGGCUAACUACGUGCCAGCAGCCGCGGUAAGACGUAGGAGGCAAGCGUUAUCCGGAUUGACGGGGUGUACAGGGUGCGUAGGUGGUUCGGCAAGUUAGUAGCGUAAUUCUGGGGCUCAACCGCGGAACUGGUACUAAAACUGUUGGGCUUGAGUGCAGGAGGGGCAUAUGGAAUUCCUAGUGUAGCGGUGGAAUGCGUAGAUAUUAGGAAGAACACCGAUUGCGAAGGCGAUAUGCUGGACUGUAACUGACACUGAGGCUCGAAAGCGUGGGGAGCAAACAGGAUUAGAUACCCUAGUAGUC
rnacentral:rRNA from 1 species